GACGAACGCUGGCGGCGUGCUUAACACAUGCAAGUCGAACGGAAAGGCCCUGCUUUUGUGGGGUGCUCGAGUGGCGAACGGGUGAGAAACACGUGAGUAACCUGCCCUUGACUUUGGGAUAACUUCAGGAAACUGGGGCUAAUACCGGAUAGGAGCUCCUGCUGCAUGGUGGGGGUUGGAAAGUUUCGGCGGUUGGGGAUGGACUCGCGGCUUAUCAGCUUGUUGGUGGGGUAGUGGCUUACCAAGGCUUUGACGGGUAGCCGGCCUGAGAGGGUGACCGGCCACAUUGGGACUGAGAUACGGCCCAGACUCCUACGGGGGGCAGCAGUGGGGAAUAUUGCACAAUGGGCGGAAGCCUGAUGCAGCAACGCCGCGUGCGGGAUGACGGCCUUCGGGUUGUAAACCGCUUUCGCCUGUGACGAAGCGUGAGUGACGGUAAUGGGUAAAGAAGCACCGGCUAACUACGUG
rnacentral:rRNA from 1 species